rfam:Triticum aestivum genome assembly, contig: Triticum_aestivum_CS42_TGACv1_scaffold_577222_7BL
GAAGUACUCCCUCCGUCCGAAAAUACUUGUUAGAGAAGUGGAUAAAAAUGGAUGUAUCUAGAACUAAAAUACAUCUAGAUACAUCCAUUUCUCUGAAUAGUAUUUACUGACGGAGGGAGUACAUU